UACGGGGGGAGCAAGCGUUGUUCGGAUUUACUGGGCGUAAAGGGCGCGUAGGCGGUCGUGACAAGUCACUUGUGAAAUCUCCGGGCUUAACUCGGAACGGUCAAGUGAUACUGUCGGACUAGAGUACAGAAGGGGCAACUGGAAUUCUCGGUGUAGCGGUGAAAUGCGUAGAUAUCGAGAGGAACACCUGCGGCGAAGGCGGGUUGCUGGGCUGAUACUGACGCUGAGGCGCGAAAGCCAGGGAGGCGAACGGG
rnacentral:rRNA from 1 species